CUGACUUCUCUUCUUUUUGAUCUCAGUUUGUCAAAGUUCUUUCUUCGCUCUUUCUGUCAAGCAUGCCACGCUGUGUAGAUCAACAGAAAGGGAGUCUCCCUCCCCUCCUCCUGCACAGGCCUCCUGCUGAUUGGACAUGCCCGGAAAACCUCAACAGGGAAGCGCCCAGGAGCAAUGCCGGAUUAACCAUAUGGGCAAACAGCGUCAGCCUGAGGAAGUUUACAGCCGCAAACGAAACGUAGCGGGAAAACAGGUACCAGGUGUUGCCAAAUAAGCCAAGAUAAAAGAGCUCUUCAGGUGAUAAAACAUACCCAAGACCAAAGUAGUCUUUACCAUUAAAGGCACACUUGGCACCCCCUAGUGUCCGUUUGGUAGAACCAAAAGCAACGCUUAUCUCCUUGCUGUGAUUUGUCUUUUUAACACCUUAAUCUAGCAGCUGAAAUGUCUCAUCAGCCUUCAUUAGCAUCUACAGAAGUGGUUCAUCACUAAAUGAAACAAAUCAGCUGUGUUUGUGACCUAAAACAUGCAGGAAACGGGCUGGAGCCAGACUGCAGCGCCAGGUAUGUCAGCUCUAUGUUUUCUAAGUCCAGCAGGCGGCUGCCCACCAGUCUGAGGUUGCAUGCGUGAUAUUCUGGCCACAGGUGGCGGUAGGGGUCUGAGUGACGUUUCAUUGAAAUUAAAAGAGUGAAUGAAAUAAAAUUUCUUGGCGUAACCAUAGAAAAAAAAGUUAAGUUGGAAACCGCAUAUUGACUCAAUUAAA